rnacentral:rRNA from 1 species
UUCGGAUUGUAGGCUGCAACUCGCCUACAUGAAGUCGGAAUCGCUAGUAAUCGCGGAUCAGCAUGCCGCGGUGAAUACGUUCCCGGGCCUUGUACACACCGCCCGUCACACCAUGAGAGUUUGUAACACCCAAAGCCGGUGGGGUAACCUUUUGGAGCCAGCCGUCUAAGGUGGGACAGAUGAUUGGGGUGAAGUCGUAACAAGGUAGC